ACAGCCAGGCCCUGGCCUCUGACCAGGGGCCAUCCACAUCAACACUGCUUACACUCCACCAUACCUCCCAGCUACUGGCCCAGCCAACCAGCUCUAUACACACACUGAGGCAGACAGGGAGAGGAACAAGGCUGGAGAAAUGAAGACUGCGAAAAUGUGAGCGUGUGUGUGUGCGUGUGCAUGCAUGUGUGCGUGCGUGCAUGUGUGUGUGUGUGUGUGUGUGUGUGUGUGUGUGUGUGUGUGUGCAUGCAUGCGUGCGUGUGUGUGUGUGUGUAUAGGUGGGCGGAUGCCGAUGAGGGCAAGGAGCAACGAAGAGGAGAAAGAAAUAAAGAUAGAAAUGGAGUCAGAGAAUUCAGCCCCAUGAAAGAAGACAGAAGAAUAAAAGACAGGCUAAGGAGAAGACAAGGCCUCAGCUGUGCGCCGCACUGAUCUACACACUGUGAUUACCUGGAGCAGAAAACCGAAUGUAAAGGCCUUGGGCUGGCUUUGAUAUUUCCAUCGUUUGUUUGUCUGCUAUGACCUGGACUACAUUUAACAGACCUAGACUGGAGGUCAGUAGGAAUCAAGGGAUGGCCAAGCACAUACAGGGUUUUCCUCUCCUUCUCUAUUAAACUCUCACCAACACUCAUUAUAGUUACCUUUUGUCUAGUAUUUGUUGCCAUUACAUAGUCUAGGCACAACUAGAGACCACUCAAUAAUCAAGGUGUUGUUGGAUAAUGGCAGAAACAAAUGAGAAGUAUUAAGUUGAGUAUAUGUCUGGUAAUACAGAAUAAGGAUGUCUUUUGUCUUGGCUGGCAUUCUUUUCUAAGACAGUGACUUGCAGAUGGGGGUGGUAGCUGAAAGGUGUCCUCCAAUUAUCAAGGUAUUACACUGCUAAAACUAUAAGCAUGCACUAUGGGAGCCUAAGAGGAGACAACGCUUCAUUAGAGACAAGAAUAGAGUUUUUUUUAUUAUUAUUAUUGUUAUUAUUAUUAUUAUUAUUAUUAUUAUUAUUAUUAUUAUUAUUAUUAUUAUUAUUAUUAUUAUUAAGGUAUUGAGUAACUAUUUCUUUAAAGUUUUAAACUUUCCAGCACAACCUGCUCUGAUUACCCUGGGUUUACCAAUAUAACUAAGUGGUUUAUAUGAAGGAGGCAGGAUUGGUAAUUACAAGCCAAUAAUCACCGUUUACUACCGAAGCUGCAGAGUAACACUGAAUAUAAAAGAAAAUUGAUUAAUGCUUAAUAAGGUGACCAAAUGUGGAGCUUAGCUAUGUACUAUUCAAUAAAGCAAAAAAUGAGUGUCAGUAUGGAUGGCCCAAUUGUUUCUCUGCAGUGCACCACUCUCCCAAUCAUGAAGAGAUCACAGCUAAGUUGUGAAACAUUAUAUCAUGCAUACCAAAUAUCAGUAGCACAUUUUGAUCACUGAAGUCAGCCACAACUGCCUGAAACUGUCUUCAACAUGCUCCUGUGAAACAAUCAGUUGAUUAAUUAGUUAGUCAAUCGACAAAAAAUAUGAUAAUAAUCAUAAUGGAAAAAGUCAUUUUUCAAGCAAAAGUGUCUUCUCAAUUGCCAAGAUAUUUUUCUUUUCCUUAACUUAUGUGAUGGUAAACUGAAAAUCACCAAACCAUCAAUUAAUAUGAGUAAUUUUUGGCGGCAGCCCUUCUUAGUUUAUGGAUAUUUUUGUAGGAGAUUUUCUAUUGACAAAGGCAGGUCAUGCUCUCCUGAGCCAGUGAUCCUAUCCAGUGAUAGUAUAAGAGUGCUAUUACUAUUAUAAGAGAAGUAUUUUUACACAGAUUUUUUGAUGGUUUUUGGUUCAGUCAGAUGUCAAAUCCAAUGGUGCAAAAUGUUGCUUUUGUCAGUGAAUUUUCAUACUUAUAUUGUAUUAGUGGGUUUAUAAAGUUAGCAAAUAAGAACUAAUCAGGUAGUAUUCUUUUAAAAAUAAAAGUAUUUUAUAGCAAAAACAGGCACACAGCAAAAAUUCUGGUGUUGGUAAUCAUCUGUGCUUAUAUCACGACUAACUAACUGAACCAACUAUAGAUGACAUGGCAGAAAAUGCUGUUUGAAACAUUGUUUACUAUAGUCUACAUCUAAAUAUUGUACAGAACUUGGAAGCUCUGUAAAACAGUAUUUAUUUUUGAAUGUGUGUCUGUAUAAGUGCUUAUAAGUAUCCUUAAUGUUAUGUUGCUUUAUCCCUCUAAGAUGUGAAAAUGAAAUAAAAACUAGUCACAAAAAUGA